GAUGAACGCUGGCGGCGUGCCUAAUACAUGCAAGUCGAGCGAACAGACGAGGAGCUUGCUCCUCUGACGUUAGCGGCGGACGGGUGAGUAACACGUGGAUAACCUACCUAUAAGACUGGGAUAACUUCGGGAAACCGGAGCUAAUACCGGAUAACAUGUUGAACCGCAUGGUUCAACAGUGAAAGACGGUCUUGCUGUCACUUAUAGAUGGAUCCGCGCCGCAUUAGCUAGUUGGUAAGGUAACGGCUUACCAAGGCAACGAUGCGUAGCCGACCUGAGAGGGUGAUCGGCCACACUGGAACUGAGACACGGUCCAGACUCCUACGGGAGGCAGCAGUAGGGAAUCUUCCGCAAUGGGCGAAAUCCUGACGGAGCAACGCCGCGUGAGUGAAGAAGGUCUUCGGAUCGUAAAACUCUGUUAUUAGGGAAGAACAAAUGUGUAAGUAACUAUGCACGUCUUGACGGUACCUAAUCAGAAAGCCACGGCUAACUACG
rnacentral:rRNA from 1 species